rnacentral:rRNA from 1 species
GUGAGGAAUUUUCCGCAAUGGGCGAAAGCCUGACGGAGCAAUGCCGCGUGAAGGAUGAUGGCCUAUGGGUUGUAAACUUCUUUUCUCAGAAAAGAAUUAUGACGGUAUCUGAGGAAUAAGCAUCGGCUAACUCUGUGCCAGCAGCCGCGGUAAGACAGAGGAUGCAAGCGUUAUCCGGAAUGAUUGGGCGUAAAGCGUCUGUAGGUUGUUUAAAAAGUAUUCUGUCAAAGAUUAGGGCUUAACCCUAGAUAGGCAGAAUAAACUUUUAAGCUAGAGUUUGGUAGAGGCAGAGGGAAUUCCCGGUGGAGCGGUGAAAUGCGUAGAUAUCGGGAGGAACACCAAAGGCGAAGGCACUCUGCUGGGCCAAUACUAACACUGAGAGACGAAAGCGAGGGGAGCAAAUGGGAUUAGAUACCCCAGUAGUCC